rnacentral:tRNA from 1 species
UUCCUGGUGAUCCAGUGGCUAAGACUCUGCACUUCCAAUGCAGGGGGCUCAGGUUUGAUCCCUGGUCAGGGAA